GCCUGGUUGGCUCAGUCAGUUAAGCGUCCGACUUCAGCUCAGGUCAUGAUCUCAUGGUUUGUGGGUUCAAGCCCCACAUGGGGCU
rnacentral:tRNA from 1 species